rnacentral:rRNA from 1 species
AAAUAACUACGAGUAAAAACUUAAAAUUUAAAAGACUUGACGGUACUUCACACCAACCUAGAGGAGCCUGUUUAACAACCGAUAACCCACGAUUAACCCAACCCUAUCCUAGCCCAACAGUCUAUAUACCGCCGUCGCCAGCUUACCUUGUGAAAGAACCAGAGUAAGUCCAACAACAUUAUACUUAACACGACAGGUCGAGGUGUAACUAAUGGAAGGGAACUAAAUGGGCUACAUUUUCUUUCUACCAGAAAAAACGAACGAACUGUGAAACCAGAAACUGAAGGCGGAUUUAGCAGUAAGAUAAGAAUAAAAUACUUAACCGAAAUUAACGCAAUGAAGUGCGC